rnacentral:rRNA from 1 species
GGGCGACCGGAUGCGGAUCUCGAAAGCCUGUCCCAGUUCGGACUGGAGUCUGCAACCCGACUCCACGAAGUUGGAUUCGCUAGUAAUCGCGCAUCAGCCAUGGCGCGGUGAAUACGUUCCCGGGCCUUGUACACACCGCCCGUCAAGCCAUGGGAGCCGGGGGCGCCUGAAGUCCGGGACCGCGAGGACCGGCCUAGGGCGAAACUGGUAACUGGGGCUAAGUCGUAACAAGGUAAC